GCUUAUCCCCACCUUGUCGCAGUCUCGCCCAUCACGCCUCAAUCCUCUUCUACUCAUUUCUUAUCUUCAUCCUUGCUCUUUCUCUCUGUCUCUCUCUAUCUCUCAGAUGGUUGAAUAUUGCUUAGCCACUCUCAAUACAUCACAAAUUUGACAAUCAUACUACUUUAAAUCUAAGCUAACAGUGAAGACGAAGGCUGGGACUAUCAUCGUUAAUGAGAAGCUUAAAAAAGGCGUUUGAAGAAAGAUUGUUCAAAUAAGUAGAUUUCGUAUAUAGUAAUUUUGUAUGGUAUGGUAUGAGCUUGAAGAUACUUAAGGAGGCUCUACUUCAACAAAAGGAAAUUGAGGAGGAAGAGCCUUGGUAACAGAACCCUAAUGGAUUAGUUUUUUGGAAGAUUGUAGAGAUGCGAAGAGAUUUUUUUUUAAUCAGAAGUUUGUGUGUGUUUUU